rnacentral:rRNA from 1 species
UACGAAGGGUGCUAGCGUUGCUCGGAAUUACUGGGCGUAAAGGGCGCGUAGGCGGAUAGUUUAGUCAGAGGUGAAAGCCCAGGGCUCAACCUUGGAACUGCCUUUGAUACUGGCUAUCUUGAGUACGGGAGAGGUGAGUGGAACUCCGAGUGUAGAGGUGAAAUUCGUAGAUAUUCGGAAGAACACCAGUGGCGAAGGCGACUCACUGGCCCGUUACUGACGCUGAGGCGCGAAAGCGUGGGGAGCAAACAGG